AACGCAAAUUGCGCCCAAGGCUUCGGCCGAGGGCAUGUCUGCCUCAGCGUCGGCUUCCCCCCUCGCCUCCCCUCCCCGGGUGAGUGCGGACCUGGCCCUCCCGGCUCUGCUCCUUCCUUUGUGGAUGAGCUUCCGGGUCGGCUGAAGUGUAGAGGCUUGAGCAAGGACCCCAUUUGUAGGGCAAUGGCUUGGUAGGUAGCCUCCCGGCUGCACCGCCUGCCGUUGACCGAGGGGACCUUGCUGGCGGCCUAGCAGGAAUUCGGUGGCGCCCUCUCCGGGCCCCCGAACGUCUUCACACUUUCGACCUGAGCUCAGGCAAGACUACCCGCUGAACUUAA
rnacentral:misc_RNA from 1 species